rnacentral:rRNA from 1 species
GAUGAACGCUGGCGGCGUGCCUAAUACAUGCAAGUCGAGCGAACAGACGAGGAGCUUGCUCCUCUGACGUUAGCGGCGGACGGGUGAGUAACACGUGGAUAACCUACCUAUAAGACUGGGAUAACUUCGGGAAACCGGAGCUAAUACCGGAUAAUAUAUUGAACCGCAUGGUUCAAUAGUGAAAGACGGUUUUGCUGUCACUUAUAGAUGGAUCCGCGCCGCAUUAGCUAGUUGGUAAGGUAACGGCUUACCAAGGCAACGAUGCGUAGCCGACCUGAGAGGGUGACCGGCCACACUGGAACUGAGACACGGUCCAGACUCCUACGGGAGGCAGCAGUAGGGAAUCUUCCGCAAUGGGCGAAAGCUUGACGGAGCAACGCCGCGUGAGUGAUGAAGGUCUUCGGAUCGUAAAACUCUGUUAUUAGGGAAGAACAAAUGUGUAAGUAACUAUGCACGUCUUGACGGUACCUAAUCAGAAAGCCACGGCUAACUACGU